AGCACCUGGAGCAGCCAGCAGGUAAAUAUGCUGUCAUAUCUGUACAGAAUGGAAAACUAGAGAACUCCAAUAGCGCUAGCCCUACUACAUUUCCGGCCCGCCACCCGCUAGGUCAUGCUCCAUUGCAUCCGAGUGGCCGAGAGAUUUAAUAAAGAUCUUGGGUGGAGAACCUUCGACGCGGGCCACCCCAUUAUUACAUCGAAAAAAACAAAAGAAAUACGAGAAAAAAAGUAAAUAAAACGAUGAUUUCAUUUGGAAAUG
ensembl:ncRNA lncRNA:CR45985 long non-coding RNA:CR45985